rnacentral:rRNA from 1 species
AUUGAACGCUGGCGGAAUGCUUUACACAUGCAAGUCGAACGAUGAACCUUAGCUUGCUAAGGGGAUUAGUGGCGAACGGGUGAGUAAUGUAUCGGAACGUAUCCAAUAAUGGGGGAUAACUAGUCGAAAGAUUAGCUAAUACCGUAUACGUCCUACGGGAGAAAGCUAGGGACCUUCGGGCCUGGCGUUAAUGGAGCGGCCGAUAUCUGAUUAGCUAGUUGGUGGGGUAAAGGCUCACCAAGGCGACGAUCAGUAGCUGGUCUGAGAGGACGACCAGCCACACUGGAACUGAGACACGGUCCAGACUCCUACGGGAGGCAGCAGUGGGGAAUUUUGGACAAUGGGCGAAAGCCUGAUCCAGCCAUUCCGCGUGAGUGAAGAAGGCCUUCGGGUUGUAAAGCUCUUUCGCAAGGGAAGAAAACUUAAGCUCUAACAUAGCUUGAGGUUGACGGUACCUUGAUAAGAAGCACCGGCUAACUACGUGCCAGCAGCCGCAGUAA